rnacentral:rRNA from 1 species
GACGUAGGGCGCGAGCGUUGUCCGGAUUUAUUGGGCGUAAAGAGCUCGUAGGCGGCUUGUCGCGUCGUUCGUGAAAACCUGCAGCUCAACUGCAGGCUUGCGGUCGAUACGGGCAGGCUAGAGUUCGGUAGGGGAGACUGGAAUUCCUGGUGUAGCGGUGAAAUGCGCAGAUAUCAGGAGGAACACCGGUGGCGAAGGCAGGUCUCUGGGCCACUACUGACGCUGAGAAGCGAAAGCAUGGGGAGCGAACAGG